CUGUAUGGUGGAGAAGAUACUGUAACAAAAACCCAAGAUUACAGUGACUCACCCAGGAAAGCAGAUGGAGAGACGGUGCCGUUGCUCCUAGAGACCAUAACGCUGAUUCCAGUCUCCACAAAGGGAACUGAGAAUUCAACAACUUCUGACCUCUCUUCAUUGAUGGUCAGUGAGCCGAUAGCCAUGUCUGCUCUUUUGGACACCACCUGUGGCCUCCAAGAUCCCUGGAUGCAAGCUCAAUUUUUUUAUGCCAUGUGAAGGUCAUGGUGUAUCAGGAAAAAGAUAACACAUAAAGAUCAUUUAGAUACAGGUGUGUUAACACGAGGUCAUCAUGAUUGGGAGCGAUGACUUCUUGGUCAAACCGAUGGGCCAAUCAGGAAUGCUCCCUAACCCUUCACACUCUGGAAGAAGGUUUCUGGAGGAAACCUGGCUCAGAGGUAGGGGAAGGUAAGAGUUGGGAUACUGGGUGGAAGUAUCGUGCUGCCUAAGACGACGACUCUCCCCUACCUGCCGCACCGAGCCACGUUCGUGGGCCCUGCCUCGCUACCUCAUCCUCCAGCAGCUUCAGCCACAAGACUCCUGCACCUGCCCAAAAACUUCAGCAUUUCCAACACCUCAGCCUUGUCCGAGUGAUGUUCUGUUCUCCAUUUUCACUUUGAACUUCACUGUUCAAAGUUUCUUGGAUCCCUGAGUCGGAGACAAUCUCCAUGUUCCCCUCACUGUAGCGAGUGUCACACAUCCUUUACACAACUAUAAAGGUGUGAACUGCACUUGCAACAUCAUGUAUAACAUGAAAGUUAACCUAGAAAUUGAUAUAUAUUUAUUAAGCUAGCUAGAGAAAUAUUACACUUCUUAUGAUUUUGAUAUAAUCCAUAAAAUGAAAUUUUCCAUUUCUAGAGCAAGCGUGACGUUGCUGGAUUACAUGCACAUCAUGGAAGCAUCUGAUUUAGAUUCAAAAUGUGAUGUUUAGUGUAACAUCUAAGUCUAACCAUUUCAUUAGAAAUGAAGUUAUAUUCAAAUAAAUAAUGCAUUUUGUAAUUUUUUUUAUAUAUCUUUAUACAUUUCUUGAACAACAGAGACAGCAUGUCCGCUGGAAGUUUCUAUGUGAAAAGAGGCAUCAUUUUAUUUAAUUGUGUUAAAUGUGAAAUGCCCAAGUCUAUUCUCUAGUGUAAUGGUUGAUUUAUCAUUCUCUUCAUGUAAUGACACAACAUGUUUCAUCUUUAUAGAAUAAUGGGAUGCUUUUUCCUAAAUGUUCCUAAUUGACUCACUGUAAACUCUUACUAUUUCACAUGGGAGUUUGGAGCUGUCAUCUUUCUGUCUCAGGUUUACUGUGUAUUAAUUUGCUUUGACGUCAUGCCUCGGAAAAUAUACCUGAUUUGGAUAUCUGUCUGA